GCUACUCCAAAAGUAAUGCCUCUUAUUUUAUUCUAUUUGAUCAUGAUGUCAGAGACGGAUGUUGGCAGUAUCACAGUAAAGAUUGAACCUUCCCACCAAUAUUCCAUUACAAUUUGUUGAUGUGUGAAAAACACCAGCAGAGGGGCAGUGAUAAAGUGGUGCCUGACAUGGAAGCACAUAUGAAGCAAUGCCAUUCUCCACAAAUAGGUGUGUGCUUGAAAAAGGAAUUACUGACUUCAUCACCUUCAUUGAAAACAUUGUCAUGCAACACUGGAUUUACAAUGAUUUUGAAAAUACCAUUGUAGCUACAU
ensembl:lncRNA